ACGAUUAUGUAUUUGAUGAGUCUUCAGGGUAUGCAUCUCUUUUUGUUUUCCAUUGAGAUUUAUAUUUAGUAAAAAAAACAACAUCUUAUUGUUUCUUCAUUAGCUUUAUGGACAGAUGGAGGAGCUUGACUUGACUGUGUUGUGGUAUGUAAUAUGUCAAUUUUAAGUGGCUAUGGUUAUACUCUCUAUCCAUUCCAUUUGGGCAAUGGCGGAAGAUUCACCUGGAAUGAGUGUAUUACCACAAGAUGGAAUAAAUUUGAUCAUGAAGAUUGCAAAUCAUGAACCUAAAAAUUAGAUACACCAAAUCAAGCAUGUAAAAUUUGGAAGAAAUUUUGGUGAAUAUUGAAGAGGUGAAAAUGAUAAAUUGAAGAAAAAUAUGGAAAUAUUGACACGAAG